rnacentral:tRNA from 1 species
UGUCCAAUGCGGGAAUCGAACCCGGGUCCUAGUGGUCUAAAACCAAACGGUUUAACCAGCCUUCCACCUUCAUAGUUAACUGAGC